rnacentral:pre_miRNA from 1 species
UCCUGAUGCUCAACUUCGGCGAGGGUCUUGGCGGUCUGGUCGGUUUAUAGUUCCUACUGGCCUGCUAAGUCCCAAGCCGCGGUGAGUCGUUCCUGUAAACA